UACGUAGGUGGCAAGCGUUAUCCGGAUUUACUGGGUGUAAAGGGCGUGUAGCCGGGCUUACAAGUCAGAUGUGAAAUCCGGGGGCUCAACCCCCGAACUGCAUUUGAAACUGUAGGUCUUGAGUAUCGGAGAGGCAGGCGGAAUUCCUAGUGUAGCGGUGAAAUGCGUAGAUAUUAGGAGGAACACCAGUGGCGAAGGCGGCCUGCUGGACGACAACUGACGGUGAGGCGCGAAAGCGUGGGGAGCAAACAGG
rnacentral:rRNA from 1 species